rnacentral:rRNA from 1 species
UGAGAAGUAGGGAAAUGAAUUCCCGGGAGCGGGGAUGCGCAGAUAUCGGAGGACCCCAGGGGCGAAGGCGGUUUUUGACCUUUCUGACGCUGAGAGCGAAAGCGUGGGAGCAAACAGGCUAGAUACCCUGGUAGUCCCACGCUGUAAACGGUGGGUACUAGGUGUGGGGGACAUUCCACGUUCUCUGUGCCGUAGCUAACGCAUUAAGUACCCCGCCUGGGGAGUACGGCCGCAAGGCUAAAACUCAAAGGAAUUGACGGGGCCCCGCACAAGCGGCGGAGCAUGCGGAUUAAUUCGAUGCAACGCGAAGAACCCUUACCUGGGUUUGACAUAUAUCGGAAACGUUCAGAGAUGGGCGCCCCGUAAGGUCGGUAUACAGGUGGUGCAUGGCUGUCGUCAGCUCGUGUCGUGAGAUGUUGGGUUAAGUCCCGCAACGAGCGCAACCCUCGUCCAAUGUUGCCAGCGGGUUAUGCCGGGGACUCAUUGGAGACCGCCGGGGUCAACUCGGAGGAAGGUGGGGAUGACGUCAAGUCAUCAUGCCCCUUAUGUCCAGGGCUUCACGCAUGCUACAAUGGCCGGUACAAAGAGUUGCGAGCCUGUGAGGGUGAGCGAAUCUCAAAAAGCCGGUCUCAGUUCGGAUUGGGGUCUGCAACUCGACCCCAUGAAGUCGGAGUCGCUAGUAAUCGCAGAUCAGCAACGCUGCGGUGAAUACGUUCCCGGGGCUUGUACACACCGCCCGUCAAGUCAUGAAAGUCGGUAACACCCGAAGCCGGUGGCCUAACCCGUUUGGGGGGGAGCUGUCGAAGGUGGGACUGGUAAUUAGGACUAAGUCGUAACAAGCUAACCGUAAGCUUCAC